ensembl:lncRNA
AUGGCGGCCAUUCAGGCUCCUAAAUGUAUUGUGGCUCCCUCAGAUCUGGGGCCUUGUUGCCUGUGUACUUAUUGGUACCAUAACAAAAAAACAAAGCAUUUUCCACGUAUAGGUAUGCCUGUGAUGCUCUCAAAUGUAGCUGUUGCACCAUCUGUAACUUGCAAGAAAAAAAAACCUUUGUGCUCGCUCUCUGAUUCCUCGUGUUUUCUCUUCUUUCUUUUUCUGACACCCUCAACCCUUUCAUCGCCAGAGGAGAACAAGAGGACACGCCUAACGAUUGAAGGGGGACUCUGGCGGCCCUUUGCAAUGCAAACAAGCAUCAAACUGGAUCCAGGCGGGCAUCGCCAGCUUCGGAGCACCGUGUGCGAGGGCCGGUUUCCCGGAAGUCUUCGCCCGAGUAUCUCAGUUCCAGUAUCGUCAGCUUUGUGACGUUGAACUAAGGGAGUAAUACAGUGAAUGAAGGUGACAUGGUACUAUUUACAGGAAACGACACGCCCUCCUCGGCAAUGUGGGGGUUGAUUCACUGCUUGGGUACAGAGAAUUAAAUAUUUCUCAACUUUAUUUUUAUUGAUUUUUUUGGAAAAUGAGGGGGGGGGUUCGGGUUUGGUUUCCAACCUGGUUUGGGAGAAACUUUGAACAGCAUUUUUCCUUAGAACAGGGAUCUCAAACUCCGGCCCACGGGCCACAUCCGGCCCGACCGUACCGUUCGCUGGUCGGAACGUCAGCUCCGCCGGCACCCCCCCUCCCGUCGAUCGUAAUGGUCUGGCCCGAGUUCGGUCGAAAGUGUGUUUCAUCUGGCCCGAACCUGAAAUGAGUUUGAGACCCCUGCCAUAGAAGGUUAUUUGGUUGAUGGCAACCUGCCACAAAACCACGAGAUGCCACUAGAACACUAAAAAAUCCUUGAUUUACAGAUAAGUAUUCCAAAGAGAGUGAGUGUUGAAAAAUGUAUUUUAGACAAUAAUAACGUUAAACACUGUCAGUGCAAAGAAGCAACAACUCAAAUAACAGGGAUGAGACUCUUUUGAAUUCUCAAAAAAAUGUAGCUGUUGCACCAUCUGUCCCUUGCAAGAAAUAAAAACCAAAAAAUGUAUUUACUUUAUUCAUUAAGUGUUGACCCCCGUUUGGUCCUUUGUGCUCGCUCGCUCAUUCCUUGUGUUUUCUCUUUCUCUUUCUCUUUCUGACACCCUCGAUCCUUUCAUCAGGCAGAAAGAUUGAGUGCAUGAGGACACGCCUAACAAUUGAAGAACUGGAAUAACUCGACAAUAGUUGAGCAGAUAUGUCUUAACCACGCCCAUAUUCAUUUUUUCUUGAG